rnacentral:rRNA from 1 species
CAGGUAGGACUACCCGCUGAACUUAAGCAUAUCAAUAAA